ACCCUUCCAGGCUUUUUCCUGCAGGAGCCCAUCUUUAUUUACUUUCUGGAUUUUCCAAAAGUAGUUUGAAGGGACUUACACUUUCUAUUUCUCCUGAAAAGUUGAGAAAGAAAAACCAUAAAAGUAAUUGUCAUUGAAGGUUCUUAACAAAUAUGUUCUAUAGAAAUCAUGAAGAUAAAGUCACUACUUAAUUUUUAUCUUCUGAAUGUUAUUGUACAACCUCUGACUGGAUUCAAUGAUAAAAUCUGCUUUGAUUCUCAAACGGUUCUUCAGUCUACUAUUGUUGGAAGGCUUUAUGAAGAUGUGAUCAUUCCUUGCUCAUUUAAGAUAGGGUCUGGCGUAGUGAUUCACUGGAUGAAAGAUGAAAAGUAUUUACACAGCUUCUUCAAAUAUGGUGACUACCUGAACAACCAAGACUCCAUUUAUAACAACAGGACAUCCCUUUUCGGCAAUGAAAUCAACAAUGGAAAUGCCUCACUAAAACUUAGGAGAUUAAACCUGCAAGAUGAAGGAGUUUAUAAGUGUUAUACAUCAACAAUAGAUAAUGCACAAUGUUCAAACAUAGACCUGAAGUUGGGAGCUUUCAUCACUCCUGCAAUAGAAUACCAAGAACAGGAUAGAGUUGACUAUUUAACAUGCUGUUUGUUUGGAGCUUAUCCUUCCCCAAAUAUAACAUGGACAGAAAACAAUACAAUAAACACAAAAAGCAUCAUAAAAGUAUCAUCUUAUCCUCCUUUCUUUGUUAAAAGUCAACUCAAAAUCACCAACUCAAAUUCCUCUUACCAAUGUAUUAUUGAAAAUUCAGUACUGAAUCAAAGAUGGACUGGAAAAUGGAAAAGUAAAGAUACUUAUUUAACAACAGAAGGUAAAAAAGUUUUAUUCCUAUGUGAACUUAAGAAUGAGGAUUUUUCACCGGAGAAAAAUAUAAAUGUUAGUUGGUAUAGAGUAAAAAAUGCAUCCUCCACAAUUUUGGCAUCCUUUUCAAGAUCUUCAGGUAGCAUGGUCUUUGAUAAUCGAUUCACUUGGACCAAGGAUAUGAUGCAUGAAAGGAGUAACUUCUCUUUGACUUUAACACAUCCUAUUCAAUCAGAUAGUGGGAAAUACCUCUGCAACAUUUCAUCUAUAGACUCUACUCAGCUCAUGAUACAAUUUUUGACAGUUGAGCCACUUCCAGAAAAGUCUUCCUCCAACCUAAUUGUUUCUAUUACAGUAUCAGUGACAAUCAUAUCCGUGUUACUGAUCGGUAUUGGUAUUGUGAGAUUACAUCAUUCCGUUUCUUCUGUUUCUCUAAACAAUACUCAACAGAAUGUGUAGGAUUUUGGAGUAACAGCGUACACUUGUAUUAUUGAUUCAAAUUUUGUGAAUGGCCAGGAAAUUAGACAAGUACUGAGAGUGUUCAGGAAGAGGAGGUCUAAUUCACAACACGGAUUUGCUCCUGCAAACCAAGAAGAGAUACAG